rnacentral:rRNA from 1 species
ACGAUUUGAUGCAAGGUUAAGCAGUAAAUGUGGAGCCGUAGCGAAAGCGAGUCUGAAUAGGGCGAAUGAGUAUCUGGUCGUAGACCCGAAACCAAGUGAUCUACCCAUGUCCAGGUUGAAGUUCAGGUAACACUGAAUGGAGGACCGAACCGACUUACGUUGAAAAGUGAGCGGAUGAGGUGUGGGUAGCGGAGAAAUUCCAAUCGAACUUGGAGAUAGCUGGUUCUCUCCGAAAUAGCUUUAGGGCUAGCCUCAAGUGAUGAUUAUUGGAGGUAGAGCACUGUUUGGACGAGGGGCCCCUCUCGGGUUACCGAAUUCAGACAAACUCCGAAUGCCAAAUAAUUUAACUUGGGAGUCAGACUAUGGGUGAUAAGGUCCGUAGUCGAAAGGGAAACAGCCCAGACCACCAGCUAAGGUCCCAAAAUAUAUGUUAAGUGGAAAAGGAUGUGGCGUUGCCCAGACAACUAGGAUGUUGGCUUAGAAGCAGCCAUCAUUUAAAGAGUGCGUAAUAGCUCACUAGUCGAGUGACACUGCGCCGAAAAUGUACCGGGGCUAAACAUAUUACCGAAGCUGUGGAUUAUCCGUAAGGAUAAUGGUAGGAGAGCGUUCUAAACGUGUCGAAGCAUGAUCGUAAGGACAUGUGGAAUGUUUAGAAGUGAGAAUGCCGGUGUGAGUAGCGAAAGAUGGGUGAGAAUCCCAUCCACCGAUUGACUAAGGUUUCCAGAGGAAGGCUCGUCCGCUCUGGGUUAGUCGGGACCUAAGCCGAGGCCGAUAGGCGUAGGCGAUGGAUAACAGGUAGAUAUUCCUGUACCACCUAUGAUUGUUUGAACGAUGGGGGGACGCAGUAGGAUAGGCGAAGCGUGCUGUUGGAGUGCACGUCCAAGCAAUAAGACUGAGUGUUAGGCAAAUCCGGCACUCGUAAGGUUGAGUUGUGAUGGGGAGUUGGAUCAUGUAUCCGACGAGUCGUUGAUUUCACACUGCCAAGAAAAGCCUCUAGUUAGAAAAUAGGUGCCCGUACCGCAAACCGACACAGGUAGUCAAGAUGAGAAUUCUAAGGUGAGCGAGCGAACUCUCGUUAAGGAACUCGGCAAAAUGACCCCGUAACUUCGGGAGAAGGGGUGCUUUUUAGGGUGCAAGCCUUGAAGAGCCGCAGUGAAUAGGCCCAAGCGACUGUUUAUCAAAAACACAGGUCUCUGCUAAACCGUAAGGUGAUGUAUAGGGGCUGACGCCUGCCCGGUGCUGGAAGGUUAAGAGGAGUGGUUAGCUUCUGCGAAGCUACGAAUCGAAGCCCCAGUAAACGGCGGCCGUAACUAUAACGGUCCUAAGGUAGCGAAAUUCCUUGUCGGGUAAGUUCCGACCCGCACGAAAGGCGUAACGAUUUGGGCACUGUCUCAACGAGAGACUCGGUGAAAUCAUAGUACCUGUGAAGAUGCAGGUUACCCGCGACAGGACGGAAAGACCCCGUGGAGCUUUACUGUAGCCUGAUAUUGAAAUUUGGCACAGCUUGUACAGGAUAGGUAGGAGCCUUUGAAACGUGAGCGCUAGCUUACGUGGAGGCGCUGGUGGGAUACUACCCUGGCUGUGUUGACUUUCUAACCCGCACCAUUUGAUCAUGGUGGGAGACAGUGUCAGGCGGGCAGUUUGACUGGGGCGGUCGCCUCCUAAAGAGUAACGGAGGCGCUCAAAGGUUCCCUCAGAAUGGUUGGAAAUCAUUCGCAGAGUGUAAAGGCACAAGGGAGCUUGACUGCGAGACCUACAAGUCGAGCAGGGUCGAAAGACGGACUUAGUGAUCCGGUGGUUCCGCAUGGAAGGGCCAUCGCUCAACGGAUAAAAGCUACCCCGGGGAUAACAGGCUUAUCUCCCCCAAGAGUUCACAUCGACGGGGAGGUUUGGCACCUCGAUGUCGGCUCAUCGCAUCCUGGGGCUGUAGUCGGUCCCAAGGGUUGGGCUGUUCGCCCAUUAAAGCGGUACGCGAGCUGGGUUCAGAACGUCGUGAGACAGUUCGGUCCCUAUCCGUCGUGGGCGUAGGAA